UUUCCGUAGGUGAACCUGCGGAAGGAUCAUUAUCGAGUUUUGACUGGGUUGUAGCUGGCCUUCCGAGGCAUGUGCACGCCCUGCUCAUCCACUCUACACCUGUGCACUUACUGUGGGUAUCAGAUCGUGAAGCGUGCUCUUUUACCGGAGCUUGUGAAGCGUGUCUGUGCCUGCGUUUAUCACAAAUACUAUAAAGUAACAGAAUGUGCAUUACGAUGUAACGCAUCUAUAUACAACUUUCAGCAACGGAUCUCUUGGCUCUC
rnacentral:misc_RNA from 1 species